rnacentral:rRNA from 1 species
GAUGAACGCUGACAGAAUGCUUAACACAUGCAAGUCAACUGUGGCGGACGGGUGAGUAACGCGUACAGAACUUGCCUCACAGAUAGGGACAACAUUUGGAAACGAAUGCUAAUACCUGAUACUGUGAGAGAGCUUUGGGUCCCAUUAGCUAGUUGGAGAGGUAACGGCUCACCAAGGCGAUGAUGGGUAGCCGGCCUGAGAGGGUGAUCGGCCACAAGGGGACUGAGACACGGCCCUUACUACUACGGGAGGAAGCAGUGGGGAAUAGUGGACAAUGGACCAAAGUCUGAUCAAGCAAUUCGGUGUGAAAGAUGAAGUUUUCGGAAUGUAAAGUGCUUUGAGUGGAGAAGCAGUACCAACAGAAGAAGUGACGGCUAAAUACGUGCCAGCAGCCGCGGUAAUUC